UAAACACCGGAGGCGGCAACUUUUACAAAUGCAUGGAUGAAGACGUAAAGCGUCUCAUAAUGAGCAGGAUGGCCAAUGGGCAUCUCUUCUCUGGGCGCAGGAACGCAGCCCUGUUUGGAUGGGAAACUGUUCUGAAAGAGAUGGGGUUGCUUGGUGUGGUAACCCCUGCCACAAAGUGGGAAAAAUUUAACCUACAAGAGCACAAGUUUGAGACCACUUAAGGGAGCUAAGGAAGCCACCCACCCACCUCAUGGACUGCACCAGAUUUGCCAGUUCUUGCUCCAAGGCACUUGCAAGUUCCUGGACAUUUCUGGGGGGAAUGGCCCUAACCCUCACCCUCCGUUCC